UGCCGCGUGUGUGAAGAAGGCCCUCGGGUUGUAAAGCACUUUCAGCGAGGAAGAACGCCUAGUGGUUAAUACCCGGUAGGAAAGACAUCACUCGCAGAAGAAGCACCGGCUAACUCCGUGCCAGCAGCCGCGGUAAUACGGAGGGUGCAAGCGUUAAUCGGAAUUACUGGGCGUAAAGCGCGCGUAGGUGGCUUGAUAAGCCGGUUGUGAAAGCCCCGGGCUCAACCUGGGAACGGCAUCCGGAACUGUCAGGCUAGAGUGCAGGAGAGGAAGGUAGAAUUCCCGGUGUAGCGGUGAAAUGCGUAGAGAUCGGGAGGAAUACCAGUGGCGAAGGCGGCCUUCUGGACUGACACUGACACUGAGGUGCGAAAGCGUGGGUAGCAAACAGGAUUAGAUACCCUGGUAGUCCACGCCGUAAACGAUGUCGACCAGCCGUUGGGUGCCUAGCGCACUUUGUGGCGAAGUUAACGCGAUAAGUCGACCGCCUGGGGAGUACGGCCGCAAGGUUAAAACUCAAA
rnacentral:rRNA from 1 species